rnacentral:tRNA from 1 species
GAGCUCGUGGCUCAGUGGUAGAGCGUCCCGUUCACAUCGGGAAGGUCGCUGGUUCGAGUCCAGCCGAGCUCA